UGCUGGUUUCGUGGGGGAGCAGAGCCAGACUUCCACGUGGGGCUCGGCGCAGGAUUUGCUUUCCACCGCAGCUGUGGUCGGGCGGCUCAGACGGCACCGUCCCUCUUUCAGAGAGUGGCUCUGGGGACGGAGAGAGGAAGGAUGUGCCGUGUGCCCAUUGCUGGUUGGAGACCUCUGAACUAGAAGUAGAUCCUGACCUCUGAACUGAAAGCAGACCUUGACCUCUGAACUGGAAGUAGACCCUGACCUCUGAACUGGAAGCAGACCUUGACCUCUGAACUGGAAGUAGACCCUGACCUCUCUGGGGUCCUGCCACUGUUCAGCAGCCCCGGUGUCCCCUCGAGGGCCAGCUAACUUCUGCACCGGUCACAGAACCUGCCCUUUGCCUCCCUUGCCAGGACAUUAACAUUCACGAAUAUAUUAUUCGUGAACUAUUAAGUGCUUGGGAUGUUAUAAAAAGUGCACUGUGUGUUCAUAAGAGCGAGGGGCUCCUGGCUGGUCUGGUCCCCUCUGUAGAGUUGGGGUUCUUGUCCACAGUGGUGCUUGGAGUCAGGUCCUCCCGGUCCACUCAGGGUCAUUUCUCAAGGUCAUUCCUCAGGUCAGGCCCUGUCAGGUUAGGUCACUUCCCUUCAAGUCUGUUUUGCAGUUUUCUUCGGCCUGUUUAUGCUUUUCUAGUUCAAACGUGGCUUCCCUAGCUUCUCUUUGAUACCAAACUGUCUUAAAGGGUUGAGAUCAUGAAAUUUGACGA